GUUUUAGUUACGUAAAUAAGACAACUCUAGUACCGGCGAGUGAUGAGCCACAAGGCCAGAAAAUGGUAUUGUUAUCUCCAAAAUCUUAAUCCACUAGUCUCUAUGUUGUACGUAAAAGAUUGUAUGAUCAAAAUUCUCUCUGUUAACUAUUUGUAUGGCAACUCUUAACACCAUCAUCAGUCAUGGUGGUCAUGGAGUUCCUUCCUUCACCAUUAAAUCCAAAAAGGACUCCAGCUUUACUCGAGUUCUCCUACCGACCAAACUUUAUACCAAGUUAGACGCAGAAACCAGAAGAGGGGUCUUCUCUACUCGUAAAAGGAGAAACUGGGUCCUCCGUGCUAUCGUUGAGGAACAAGAACUGGCUCCGGGGAAGCCUAACGAGUCAAAGGAGGAAGAUAACGCCUUAUUGAGUGAUGGGUCUGAAAAAGUUGAGCCAUUUUCGUCUUUGUUACCCGUUUCAGUCGAUGGUGAAGAAGAUUGGGAUAGAUUGACCAGCAGGGCUAUAAACGCUGCUAUUGUUCUCGGAUUUGGGACCCUUGCUAUAACUAAGUUGUUCACCAUUGACCACGAGUACUGGCAUGGGUGGACAAUUUAUGAGGUUCUAAGAUAUGCACCCCAACACAAUUGGAUUGCCUAUGAACAAGCUCUCAAAGCAAAUCCUGUUCUGUCCAAAAUGGUAAUUAGCGGUGUUGUCUAUGCCAUUGGAGAUUGGAUUGCACAAUGUUAUGAAGGAAAACCAAUUUUUGAAAUUGAAAGAACACGCGUUUUCAGAUCAGGCCUUGUUGGUUUUACCCUCCACGGCUCCCUUUCCCAUUACUACUACCAAUUUUGUGAGGCUCUCUUUCCGUUCGAGGAUUGGUGGGUGGUUCCAGCCAAAGUUGCCUUUGACCAAACUGUAUGGGCUGCAAUUUGGAACAGCAUCUAUUUUUUCGUUUUGGGACUCUUACGUUUUGAAUCCCCGGUCAGUCUUUUGAAUGAACUGAAGUCAACAUUUUGGCCCUUACUGACUGCUGGCUGGAAGCUUUGGCCAUUUGCUCAUCUGAUUACCUAUGGUGUGGUCCCUAUUGAACAAAGGCUGCUUUGGGUUGACUGUGUGGAGCUAGUCUGGGUAACAAUACUGUCAACUUACUCAAACGAGAAGUCCGAAUCAAGAGUAUCCGAAACAUCAGUAAAUAUAGAUUCUGAUUCUUCAUCAAGCCACAACAAUGAAUCCAAGGACUAAAUUUGUUGGUACACCCGAUGAUGAUUUUCUAGUUUGGAUGAACAAUGUCAUCGUCUUCAUCUAUUAUAUAGUUUUCAAAACCGACCAAUUCUUUUAUGAACGGUGAGAGUAUUGCAAAGAAAAUAUGAUUUUUUCACUGCUUAAUGCAAUUGGAGUAGAUUGGAUGGAAGAGUGAAGAAAGAGGUAGGCCUUGCCAAGUUGUAAGUUAUGGUCUCAGGAGAAGAUUAUGUUUGGUAAAUUUGUUGUAUAAAGUUAUUUCCUACAUGCAUUAUACAUAUAUAUAAUUAUAUAUAUAUAUACGCACACAUAAAUGGGGAUAUGAUAUUUUUCAUAUACAAUCUAUCAGCUUUGCCAAAUUGUCUAUGGAACUUCCUGCGUACUGAAUAGCAGAAAUAGCAUAUUGAGAAACAUAUAACAGAAAGUAAAUAUAUACCUCUAUCAGAUUCAGAUGAUUUCUAUGUUCUUUCAUUGGUGGUAAUUGUCUAGAUCAAUAAUAUUGUCCUUUCUGGCUUGAAAUACGGCAACUUAAAUUCCAAAAAUUCCAAACGGCAUGUCGUUUUGGCUCCUCACAUUUAAGCUUUCAAUACUGCAUAGAAUGACGGUGAUAACUAAACUAUGAAGAAAUGAAUACAUAUACGUGGAACUGCUUUAAAAUUCAUAUAUGGAACCAGUAGCAAUUUUUUAUAUAUAUAUAUGGGAUAUUGGCGGCUAAACCACCUGAACUUUACGGUUUGUAACACUUAACCACAUAAACCGAAUUUUUGGCGGCUAAACUACCUAAACUCCCAUUCCGUUUUGCUCUGUACACCUCCGUCCAAAAAUCUCAGUUAAGUGCCACGGUGGACGAUCCACGUGUACACACUUGUACACGUGGCAAAUUUUUAAUGGUCCACGUAAUAUUAGUUUUAAAAAAUAAUUAUAAAUAUUUAAAAAAUUAAAAAAUCAGAUUAAAAAAUAAAAAAUCAGAAUUUUUUUUAAUAAUUUAUAUAUUAAAAAAAUACUUUAAAAAACAGAAAAAAAAUAAUUAAAAAAAUAAUUAUUAUUUUUUUUUAAUUCUUCUUCUUUUUUUUUCUUUCUUUUUCUUCUUCAUCUUUCUUCUGCUUCCUCUUCUUCUGCGUUUUUUUUCCAGAAAGCAAACCCCCCAAAAAGCCCAAGCCGUCCAUCCCCUACUACCAGUCCCCAUCUGCUGCUAAACCCAUAUACAUAUUUCUCUCUCUCUCACUCUCAGUCUCCACUCUGAAUGAAUACCCCUUUUCUUUGUUUUAAUUUUUUCAUUCUAUAAUAUUUCCCUUUCCUUUUCUCCAUUUCUAAACAAACAGAACAAAACAAUAUAUUUGUAAUUUCUAAUAAUAAUAAUAACAGCAAAUUAAUUGGGCUGGAGUGUCACAUUCAAUGCCAGUUCCACAACCCACAACUCUUUUUUUUUUUUUUUUUUUUUUUUUUUUUCAGAUCUGGGCCGAACUGUAAGAACCUGGAAAUGUAAUGGUAGUAGACCAAGUAGGAGACCGGAGACGACUCAGUUUGGUCCUCCCAGAUCCGUCGUCGUGGUUGUGCGAAAAUCGCCAUUAACGGCGUCGAGGGUGAGCUCGGGUGGGGGAGGGAAAUCGGAGUUUAGGGUUUCUUGGUUUGGGGAUUCCGAUUUUGUGGUCUGACUUUAGUGGGCUGGAGCUCUUGGUCCGUCGACGGUGCUGGCGGUGCAGAAGAGGAAGAUCGACAUUAUCAAGAGAGGAAGAGAGAGAUAAGGAUUUUGGAAGAAGAAGAAGCAGAAAAAAAAAGAAACAAAAAAGAAAAAGAAAGGAGAAAGGAGAUAAAAAAACGAAAAAAAGAAAAGAAAAAAAAUAAAAUAAUAUAUUUUUUUUAUAAUUUAUUUAUUUUUAUAAUUUUUAAAUUAUUUUUUAUAAUAUUUUCAUAAGUAAUAUUACGUGGACCAUUAAAAAUUUGCCACGUGUACAAGUGUGUACACGUGGACCGUCCACCGUGGCACUUAACUGAGAUUUUUGGACGGAGGUGUACAGAGCAAAACGGAAUGGGAGUUUAGGUAGUUUAGCCGCCAAAAAUUCGGUUUAUGUGGUUAAGUGUUACAAACCGUAAAGUUCAGGUAGUUUAGCCGCCAAUAUCCCUAUAUAUAUUUAUAGGGAACUCGUUAGUGAUACUUUUGCUCUCAAAAGCAUUUUUAUAACCUUUCAUUUUUAAUCUAAUGGUAGUAAUUUUUUUGUUAUAUCUUUAAUUACCACAAAAUAUCACACAUAAAAUUAUUUUUUUUACUCAUCUAUAUUCAAUCCACUACCUAGAUGAUACUCUUGCUAAUUUUAAAGAAAAUGUAGUUAUUAUAUAUUUUUUUUUAUUUCUACUAUUUUCUUUAAAAAAAAACUCAGAUACUUUUAUUUUAUUAAAAAAAAAAUUCUAGACACUUAACCCAUAGUAGUAGCUGCCAACCUCACUAAAAAAAUAAUCCUACACUUGUAUAGAUCAUAGAACACAAAACUCUUGUACAAUUUCGUUUUUAUAUAAUUAUCGACAUUGAAGAUUAUAUAAAUUCUAUAAAUUUGUAAGAUUAAUAAUGUUAUUAUUACAGUAAUUAUUAACAUAAAUAUAUCUUAUAUUAUUUAUAAGAAUAUAAUGCUCUUUUUACUGAAUUUAAGUAUCAAACUUUUUCUGAAAUUUGAUUUGCAAUGUUAAUUGACAGUUCAAGCGAAGGUAUUUGAAAAAAAUUUGAAACAAUUCCAAAAUCUAAAAUUCUAUUCUAAUUUCAAAAUCCUAUUCCUAUUGUGAUUAAAUGAUUUAAAGUAUAAAUUGUAAGUCAUGGUGUCUUGUCUUUUGACAUGCGAAGUUCGUAUUGGUUUUGGGUGUUCUGUUUUUUUCUUUUUUUGGUUCUUUGGCAGUGGUACCAUGGCACCAGACAUGGCUGAAGCUUUAGCCAUUAAAGAGGCGUUAAGUUGGAUCAAGAAUCAUGAAUGACAUAAUGUUGAACUCGAGUCCGAUUGUCUCUCAAUUGUCCAAACUAUUCGAAGUAACAUCACUAUGGUUUCGCCUCUUGGGGGAGUGGUGAUAGACUGUCAAAAGCUUCUAUCUAUUUUAAACACUGUUUCUUUGUUUUUUCAUCAAACAAUCUGCUAAUAUGACUGCGCACAGCUUUGUUAGAGCGUCAUAUUUUUUUCCAGAUCGAGUUUUCAGUGAGAGAGAUAUUCCUACUGAAUUACAAUCUUGUCUUUUGGCUAGCAAAUUAAUAAAAUUCUAACUUGCAUUCAAAAAAAAAAAAAAGUGAGUUGUUGUUAUACAAGGGAUGUACUUUUAUAGGGUGUAUUUAUAAAAAAUAAUAUUUAAAUAAAUAAAUUGAAGUGUAUUUAAAUUAGGGAUGUACUUAUAAAUUGUUAGGAUGUAAAUAUAAACUCCCUAAUAUUAAUUAUUUAAAUAUUAUAAAAAUAAAUUUUCUCUAUUUUUGUUUUCCUUGUUAUUCCAUUUCACCAAACCAAACGGUAAAUGUAGAUGCGAAAUAAAGUAUUGAACCCUCCAAGGUUCUGCAUUUGCGAAAAUAGCCCCAGAUCUGCAAAACUUGCUCCAAAUUGAACCCCUGUGCUUGGCCAGGCUUCGCUUAGAUCUUCAUCUGCUACACAAAAAUGGCGAAACUUGAAUUACUGGACCCGCAACCUGAACCAGACAAUAUCAACAUCAACCACAACACCAAAAACAAGAUGGCCAAGAAGAGGAACCAUGGCUCAACCAAGCUGUUUGUUUUUGUGGAUUACCUUUUCCUUCUCAUUUUUUUUGGCUUCUUCUACUUCGUGAUUUUCAAGAUAAUCCUUUCCUGAUUUUGAUUCAGGCUGGCCUUGUUGAGAGCUGCUUUCUUGUAUCUGUCUUCAUUUACUACAAGGCUUAAUGCAUUAUAGUUGAAUAUCAAUUAUGAUUACACAUUUUAUACCAGGGGAUUUUUUGUAUUGAAAAUUCCAUAAAAUCUUUCUCUUUAAGAUCUGAAUUAUGGGUAUGAACAUUUAAUUAUACAUUUGAAGAAAACUUUUGCUUAAGCUUGGCAUUGAUUGAAGUGAUCAUGGUAGACCUUUGGAGGUGAUUAUAACACACAACAUGUGGCAUUUUCUAAUACCAUGAUAUGAUAUAAAGGAAGGCUUGACCUGGAUGAAUUAGAGAUGUUUUGCCAGUUAAAGUGAGGUGGUUUUGUCAAAUGUUUACUAGGAAAGGUUGUGUUGUGUACUAUAUAGGAAAAAGAAUAUCUGAUCCUUUUUUUACUUUUUAGUGUUUGGAUAUUCAUGCACUAUACUCAGUGAAAGUCUAUGUCAUUCAUCAUGACAUGUACUUUAAUUUUGUUAUAUAUAUUUCUCAUUAAUGAGUGUGCUCAAUGUUAAGCUCCAUAAGUCAAGCUAUAUGAGGAUGCUCAUAGUUGGUUAUGUCAAGUCAUUUUUUAUGUGUUAGCAAAACUUGUACAUCUUUGUCUAAAGGAAAAAAAAAAUUGUACAUCUGGUCUCUUCAUAGGUAUCAUAAUCUUUGUUGACAAGCCCAAAUCAGCAAAUACUAAAUCAUGCUUAUUAAAACUCCUACUUUGGUCUGCUGCUUCUACUUGAUUACGAUGUAAAACUGCCUUGAUUUUGUCCAUUAUCAAAUAUUUCAACUUAUAAUCCAAUUGUUAUCAUUUAUUUUCCUGGUUGGGAUUUGACUUAUGAAGUCUAAGUUCGUAACAUGUAUCGAUCUUUCCCUUUAUUUCUUCAUUUGUACAAUCGGGAUAAAAUUAUAACUAUAUAAAUACAUUUGGUUUAGGGUUGAUUAAAUAUUGGUAGGUUUUGGUAAAUAUAGUGUAAACUUUUAACUUUCUGCGCUUCAAUAAUAGUUACUUUUUCUUAUCGCUAUUGAUUCUUACUGAUAUUUUGUUGUACAUUUUACACUAAAUAAUUAAUGACAUUAAUUUUAUUUUUGCAAUCAUUCAAACAAUUCAGAUUUUUAAUGUACUGUUAAAACUAAAAGUGAUGUUAUUAAUUUUGAUUACAGCAGAAAUAUAUUUACAUAAACACGAUGAAAGAAAAUAGUGAAUGAACACGAAAAAAUCAACAGGUUGACAUCUAAAAAUUUGUAAAACUUUUUUUUAAGUCUCCUUCUAUAAAUACUGAGUAAUAAAAUCAAGGUAUUAUGCUAUAAAUAACCAUGCCAUUCUUCUACAUCACUCUGUAUAUUAUUAGAAUGUCCCAUUUUUUCUUUGUGUGUGCGUGUGAGUAUUUUUAUUUUUGGCUGGAAACAACUUGAAAGCAUAUUCCCAUAUUGUUGAUGGAUUGGAUUUGGUAUUUUACUUCAAAAGAUAAAAGUAAAAUAAAAAUUCAUACAAAUGCAUAGAGAAGAUAAACACUGAUAUCAUUACAUAUUGCUAAGGAACAACACUACACAAAAGACCAUGAACUAAUCUUAACUACGGCACACUCAGACUCAAACUAACUUACUACCUUAUUAGAAAAGCAAUACAUUGAUCUAGACUCCUUAAACCUCAAAUACAGAGUGAGCAAACAAAAAGCUAUAGAUUGAUAGAUAACAGGGCUAUGAUUGUCAAGCCAAGCUAAAUUAAGAACAAGAGAUCAGCUAACAACAUGAUCAGGGGUUGCCAGUAGCAGUGACAGAGGCAGAGCCAGAAGUAGGAGCACCGCCGCGGCCAGGGAUGGGGACCUCAAAACCAGGGUUGGGGAUGAAUGUGUCAUCAGCACCAGGAAUGUACUUACGCUUUGGUCUGCCACUGAUAUCGCCAAUGACACCGCCAAUGACACCGCCAAUGUGUUUUGGAGGAGCAUAAGUGCCGGUGAUUGGAUUGUAGUUCUUGUAAGAGGGGUGUCCGAUACCAUGGCCGUGAGGUGGUGGCAGCAUUACACGUCCAAAGCCAGGAACCAGAACAGUGCCGUCGUGAUCAACCAGAUACUCGGGUUGUUUCUUGUCAACUACUGUCUUGGGAUUGUUUGGUACACUACGUGCUGCUGCAACUCCGUUAGCUAAGGCUAGUAAGAGAAGAGAAGCCAAGAGAAAGAGGGAGCAUUGGGUUUUGUAUGCCAUUUUCUUAAUUUUCAACCUUAAGUAUUGGAUGGAUGAAGAAAGAUGAGGAGAAUGAUUUGGU